rnacentral:lncRNA from 1 species
CCAAAGUUAUUCGUUCCAAAAUCAAAAGGAACAAAAAGGUUUUCUCCCUUUUCCUCUACUAGGGCAAAAAUGGAUCAGCUCCUGCUGCUAACCCACCACGAUCACGAAUAACGGUGGCCGGAGGAUCUACAACAAGGUACCUUCGACCCUUUUUACUUCUUUUUUUAUUUUUUUAUUUAAAAAAAACACUUCAAACACUGUCCAUUUUAAAAAACUCAAAAUAAAACCCAUGAAAAGAGAGCCUGAAUAGAAGCAAAAGAAAUCUGAAAAAAUAAAUGCAACCUUUGCUUUUUGAUUUCUCUGAAUUCUUUUUUGUAUAUUUGUUGAUUUUUUGUAUUCAGAUCUGUAUUCUAUUUUUCUGAAAAAAUAAAAAAAAAAGAUCCCCCUUACAUUUGAUUCUAUUCGGCUUUAUAGCCAAAAAAUAAAAAUAAGAGAGAAAGAAAAAUACAAAUUUCCUUGCUGUAAUUUGUUGUUUAUUGUUACUUUCUGUUGCUCAUUAAUCUUUGCUGUUAUUCACUGUAAAUCUAUUAUUCAAUCUUCUCACAGGUUUGGCCUUGUAUGGAGGUUGCAGACGUGGCCAUGACGAGGCUGUGCAUGGGAAACUACUCGUGAAGGCCUGAUUCCAUGGCUAGCUGCGGUGCCAGCAUGUUCCAAAAAUCUCUAGGGUUUCUGGUAUUCUCGGAUUAUUAGGCCCCUUUGGGUUUGGGCUAGGAUUGGGCCAAAUUAGGUUUAUUUUAGAUGGGUUAAAAGUUUAGGAUAAAUUUGGAUUUGUGUAACACCCCUAUCCCGUAACCGUCGCCAGAAUAGGUAAGGGGCAUUACCGGACUUGUAACUCAUGUCAGAACAGUAAAAUUUUGAACUUUUUCUUGAAAUAAAGAUCGUUCAUUUAAAUAAGUACUAAGCACAACCAGA